UAGGGAAUAUUGGGCAAUGGACGGAAGUCUGACCCAGCCAUGCCGCGUGCAGGAAGAAGGCCUUCUGGGUUGUAAACUGCUUUUAUCUGGGAAGAAAAAGCCCUUGCGAGGGAAACUGACGGUACCAGAUGAAUAAGCACCGGCUAACUCCGUGCCAGCAGCCGCGGUAAUACGGAGGGUGCAAGCGUUGUCCGGAUUUAUUGGGUUUAAAGGGUGCGUAGGCGGCCCUGUAAGUCAGUGGUGAAAGCCUCCAGCUCAACUGGAGAACUGCCAUUGAUACUGCAGGGCUUGAGUACAGACGAGGUUGGCGGAAUUGAUAGUGUAGCGGUGAAAUGCAUAGAUACUAUCAAGAACUCCGAUUGCGUAGGCAGCUAACUAGGCUGUAACUGACGCUGAGGCACGAAAGCGUGGGGAGCGAACA
rnacentral:rRNA from 1 species